GAUGAACGCUGGCGGCGUGCUUAACACAUGCAAGUCGAACGGUGAACGAGGGAGCUUGCUCCCUCCGGAUCAGUGGCGAACGGGUGAGUAACACGUGAGCAAUCUGCCCUGGACUCUGGGAUAAGCGUUGGAAACGACGUCUAAUACCGGAUACGAGGCGUGGGGGCAUCCCCAACGCCUGGAAAGAACUUCGGUCCAGGAUGAGCUCGCGGCCUAUCAGCUAGUUGGUGAGGUAACGGCUCACCAAGGCGACGACGGGUAGCCGGCCUGAGAGGGUGACCGGCCACGCUGGGACUGAGACACGGCCCAGACUCCUACGGGAGGCAGCAGUGGGGAAUAUUGCACAAUGGGCGCAAGCCUGAUGCAGCAACGCCGCGUGAGGGACGACGGCCUUCGGGUUGUAAACCUCUUUUAGCAGGGAAGAAGCGAAAGUGACGGUACCUGCAGAAAAAGCACCGGCUAACUACGUGCCAGCAGCCGCCGUAAUAC
rnacentral:rRNA from 1 species